UCAUAUGCUUGUCUCAAAGAUUAAGCCAUGCAUGUCUAAGUACGUGCCUAAGAAAGGUGAAACCGCGAAUGGCUCAUUAAAUCAGUUAUGGUUCCUUAGAUCGUACCUUACUACUUGGAUAACUGUGGUAAUUCUAGAGCUAAUACAUGCAGCAGAGCUCCGACCUUCGGGGACGAGCGCUUUUAUUAGACCAAGACCAAUCGGACUUCGGUCCGAAGCUCAUGGUGACUCUGGAUAACUUUGGGCUGAUCGCACGGUCUCGUACCGGCGACGCAUCUUUCAAGUGUCUGCCUUAUCAACUUUCGAUGGUAGGUUAUGCGCCUACCAUGGUCGUAACGGGUAACGGGGAAUCAGGGUUCGAUUCCGGAGAGGGAGCCUGAGAAACGGCUACCACAUCCAAGGAAGGCAGCAGGCGCGCAAAUUACCCACUCCCGGCACGGGGAGGUAGUGACGAAAAAUAACAAUACGGGACUCUAUUGAGGCCCCGUAAUUGGAAUGAGUACACUCUAAAUCCUUUAACGAGGAUCUAUUGGAGGGCAAGUCUGGUGCAGCUCCAAUAGCGUAUAUUAAAGUUGUUGCGGUUAAAAAGCUCGUAGUUGGAUCUCAGUUCCAGACGGGUGGUCCACCCCCGGUGGCUACUGCCUGGCCUGAACAAAUCCAGCCGGUUUUCCUUGAUGCUCUUCACCGAGUGUCUUGGGUGACCGGCACGUUUACUUUGAAAAAAUUAGAGUGCUCAAAGCAGGCGUGACGCCUGAAUAAUGGUGCAUGGAAUAAUGGAAUAGGACCUCGGUUCUAUUUUGUUGGUUUUCGGAACACGAGGUAAUGAUUAAGAGGGACAGACGGGGGCAUUCGUAUUGCGACGCUAGAGGUGAAAUUCUUGGACCGUCGCAAGACGAACUACU
rnacentral:rRNA from 1 species